AACGCACAUUGCGCCCCUUGGUAUUCCAUUGGGCAUGCCUGUUCGAGCGUCAUUUAACCCCUCAAGCAUUGCUUGGUGUUGGGCGUUUGUCUGCGCAAAUCAGCGUGGACUCGCCCCAAAAACAUUGGCAGCGGCUUGCCAGCCUCUCGCGCAGCACAUUGCGCUCCUCGAGGCUUUUGGCGGGCUUGCGUCCAUCAAGAUCACCCCCAUUUUGACCUCGAAUCAGGUAGGGAUACCCGCUGAACUUAA
rnacentral:misc_RNA from 1 species